CCUACGGGUGGCAGCAGUGAGGAAUAUUGGUCAAUGGGCGAGAGCCUGAACCAGCCAAGUCGCGUGAAGGAUGACGGCCCUACGGGUUGUAAACUUCUUUUGUCAGGGAGCAAUUGGGUCCACGCGUGGGCUUAGCGAGAGUACCUGAAGAAAAAGCAUCGGCUAACUCCGUGCCAGCAGCCGCGGUAAUACGGAGGAUGCGAGCGUUAUCCGGAUUUAUUGGGUUUAAGGGGUGCGUAGGCGGAAUAUCAAGUCAGCGGUAAAAAUUCGGGGCUAAACCCGGUCGUGCCGUUGAAACUGGGGGGCUUGAGUAUGUUUGAGGCAGGCGGAAUGCGUGGUGUAGCGGUGAAAUGCUUAGAUAUCACGCAGAACCCCGAUUGCGAAGGCAGCCUGCCAAGCCAUGACUGACGCUGAUGCACGAAAGCGUGGGGAUCAAACAGGAUUAGAUACCCUUGUAGUC
rnacentral:rRNA from 1 species